UUGUCUGUUGUUUGGCUUCAGCAUGUUGCAUGUUUAUAGCUUUUCAUCAGCGUCAUCGAUCGAUCGUUUCGUGUUGAUGGUCGUUUAGAGAGGGCAUAGCCAGGGCUUAUUAUUGCCAUUUCUUCAAGUUUAUUUUGCUUUAAGUGAUGAUGAUAUGCUAUCAUUUCAGCGUACUUUCCUCUCUUCGCUUGUGAGAAAGAAAGAAUUUCUUUCUUGUUUUGGUUAUCAAUUUCAUGUCUGGCUAUUGUCAGCGCCUCAAUACAAUCAAUACGGAUGGCAAUGAGUAACCGCUUUUGUGCCUUGUCAUUGCCGGUCGUCAGUCGUCAGUCGCCAGUCGACAGUCUCCAGUUGGAGCACUCCAUCUUUUGUGGUUGCGGUUGUUUUUCUAUACGUUUAUUAUUCAUUCAGCAGGAGAAGGAAGAGUAGGGUGGGAAAUCAAGAGCUUCUGCUUUUUAUCUACAGCAAACAGUGCAGCAGCUUCGACUAAUUAUAAAUGUAUUAUUAUGACAGGUCUCAUGUGGUGGCAUGCCAUGUUCAUUUUUGGCGCCAUUAACCUUCAAUUGCCCAUGGCUGGCAAUCAGUUAAGUCAGUGACUUUGUCACCAACUCAACAACGACGACGACGACGACGACGGCGACACACGACUUGCAUCUAAAAACGCGGCGUCGUUGACAUGGAUGUGACCAAAAAUAGCUGACUAUUAACUGUGGCAAACCUCUCUACAACUGAGCCAAUAAGACAAGAGAAAAACGACACUUGGAACAAGCGAAGCGAAGCGAGCACAAAUAAUUGCAUUGAAAUUAUUUAUGUACCCAAAACUCGCCGUCACUCGACUCAUAAAAUCAUAAAAAUGGGGACCAAGAGAAGCGCCAGCACAGCGUGAAGUGCACAGCAACAAAAGCCUUGGAGGGGUGUCCAACACAUCAAGAGAGGAAGAAGAAACAACAUCAGCUUGAGCCCAAGCCCAAACUCAUGGCUGACCCCAAGCAAAGUCAACACACAUCAAAGUGACGCGAGAAGAGGUCAAGCGUUAAGUCAUAAAAAAAAAAAAAAAAAAAAAAACAGUGCCCCCCAUGGCUGUGAAGAGACACACCGCAGUUGCAAGGGGAAACUCGGGAAAACUCAAGACAAAUGUUAAUCAUCCGAUCUGUCAGUUGGCAGUUGCAACCUCACGAUGAUCGUCAUCACCACAGCAGCAGCAGCAGCAGCAGUGUCAUCAACAAGUCCGUUCAGUGACUGUCGAUGACGUUGUCAACUUUUGAUGUUAGUCAACGCCACAGCGAAACAACAUUUCCACAAAAGUCCAUGGCAAGGCUUCAGCUUUAGCUUCGGCUUUAGCUUCAGCUUCGACUUUAGUGAGGCCAGUCGAAGGCGACCUGAAUAAAAAGCAUUUUAGUAACGCGCUAAUUACAUAAAAUUGUUGUUCUUUGGAAUUACAAGUGCAACAAGUACGACUACAACAGAAGCAAUUCUCAACUCUUAGCUCUCAAUUCGCGAUUCUCAUUGCAAUCAACAGGUUCUCUGCCAAUGCAUUGAACAGCUGCUCAUACUUUCUACGCAAAAUACUUGAGAAUUAUUUACAAGAGGUGUGUUGUCAUUUCGCAUGUCUCGACAAAUUUCAGUUGUACUCCAGGGUUAGAAGUAUUUUGUGUUAAAAUGAUUUCAAUUGCAUUAUCUGUAAUAAGCUCAAGGAAACAGAAUAAAGAAGGAAUUGAAGCUUACAUUCUACUUUACUGAACCUUGCAAUUGAAGCCUAUCUUAAAGUGAUUCAAUUGAUUUAUCACAAGGAAUUUCCCAGCUACAGUUGAUUACAUUUUCUUUGGAA